rnacentral:rRNA from 1 species
UACGUAUGGGGCGAGCGUUGUUCGGAAUUAUUGGGUGUAAAGGGCGUCUAGGCGGGAGAUUAAGUUAGAUGUGAAAGGCGUGGGCUUAACCCACGAAUUGCAUCUAAAACUGGUUUUCUUGAGUUCGGUAGAGGAGAGCGGAAUUCUUGGUGUAGCGGUGAAAUGCGUAGAUAUCAAGAAGAACACCAGUGGCGAAGGCGGCUCUCUGGCCUAGAACUGACGCUGAAGCGCGAAAGCGUGGGUAGCGAACGGGAUUAGAUACCCGUGUAGUCCCUGAG